rnacentral:tRNA from 1 species
UAGACGGAUGCUCGCUGGUUUGGGCUUUUAGCUGUUAACUAGAAAUUUGUAGGAUCGAGGCCUUCCCGUCUAG